GUAGGUGAACCUGCGGAAGGAUCAUUAUCGAAUAAACUUGUGCAGGCUGUUGCUGGCCCUUACUAAAGUAAGGGUAUGUGCACGCUUGUCAUCUUUAUCAUUUCUCCAAACCUGUGCACAUACUUGUAGACCUUUGGGGGUAGCAUUUUCGAAUUCAUAUUCGAAGUUGGGGGACUGCUGCGCUUUUUUUCAUAUACAAAAGUCGGCUUUCCCUUUGUAUUUUAAGGUCUAUGUUGUUUUUCCACAACCU
rnacentral:misc_RNA from 1 species